rnacentral:lncRNA from 1 species
AUGGAAGCUGAUGCAUCUGUUGACAUGUUUUCCAAAGUCCUGGAGAAUCAGCUGCUUCAGACUACCAAACUGGUGGAAGAACAUUUGGAUUCUGAAAUUCAAAAACUGGAUCAGAUGGAUGAGGAUGAAUUGGAACACAUUAAAGAAAAGAGACUCGAGGCACUAAGGAAAGCUCAACAGCAGAAACAAGAAUGGCUUUCCAAAGGACAUGGGGAAUACAGAGAAAUCCCUAGUGAAAGAGACUUUUUUCAAGAAGUCAAGGAGAGUAAAAAAGUGGUUUGCCAUUUCUACAGAGACUCCACAUUCAGGUGUAAAAUACUAGACAGAUUUCUGGCGAUAUUGUCCGAGAAACACCUCGAGACCAAAUUUUUGAAGCUGAAUGUGGAAAAAGCACCUUUCCUUUGUGAGAGACUGCAUAUCAAAGUCAUUCCCAUACUAGCACUGGUAAAAGAUGGGAAAACACAAGAUUAUGUUGUUGGGUUUACUGACCUAGGAAAUACAGAUGACUUCACCACAGAAACUUUAGAAUGGGGGCUCAGUUGUUCUGACAUUCUUAAUUACAGGUAA